ensembl:lncRNA
GAGAGAGAGAGAGAGAGAGAGAGAAACUGGUUAUGUGGGUAAUAUGAAGUGCAUCAAUAGACAGGAGAAUCUGAUGAGACUAAGUAUAAUGGCAUUAGAGUAGGGCAGUCAGAUAACACAUAGAGGAGUUGUAGCAUAUCUGGUCUCCAGAUCAUCUCUGGUCCUCCUCUAACACAUAAAGCUGUUGUAGCAUAUCUGGUCUCCAGAUCAUCUCUGUUCCACAACAACAUAAACAUCCACUGAGCAACCAUAACACUACUCUGUCACUCAUGACAACGACAACACAGCGUUCUUUCACACUUUAAUAGUCCUUUACCCUCUGUUUCCUCUUCUUCUCCAUUCACUCCUCCAGACCCUUCUUACUUCCUGGUUGUCUUCAGUCUGUCGGGUCAUGACAGAUCAUGUUGUUGAUCCGACAGGAAGAUUCAACACUCAUUUUGUGUGCGUGUGUGUGUGCGUGCGUGUGGGUGUGUGUGUGCGUGUGUGUGUGUGUGUGUGUGUGCGUGUGUGUGUGCGUGUGUGUGUGCGUGCGUGUGUGUGUGUGCGUGUGUGUGCGUGUGCGUGAUUCUCUUUUGAACCUUUAUCGAACAAGUCAGUUAAGAACAAAUUCUUAUUUACAAUGACAGCCUCCCGGGGAACAGUGGGUGAACUGCCUUGUUCAGGAACAGAACAACAGAUUGUUUUACCUUAUCAGCUCUGGGAUUCGAUCCAGCAACCUUUCAGUUACUGGCCCAGCGUUCUAACCACUAGGCUCCAUGCCGCCCUGCGUCUGUGUGUGAUCAUGUUGUCUCGCAGACAGAAAGACAACGCUCAUGAUUCUGAACAACAGCAGUCACAUGUUCCUGGGGACCAGUUUGUAUCAGACACUAAGCAUGCCCUACACACACACACACAAAGAGAAAAGACACACACACUCUUCCAAGUAUGUGGAAAAACACACCAUACACAGGCACAAACACACACAGGAGAGACACGCACGAAACAAUCACCUGUUUCAGGGGACCAGUUUAUACCAGACACAGCAUGGGCUCCACACCUAAAUAAAGAGACACACACACACACACACACACACACACACACACACACACACACACACACACACACACACACACACACACACACACACACACACACACACACACACACACACACACACAGCCAAGUAUGUGGAAAAUACACACACACACCCUUAAUCUUCCGAGUCUUGUGAUGUUUACAGGUUAACAUGCAGUUCCUAUAUGGGCCAUGAUGACAGACAGACAGCAGACAGACAUGACUAACACAUUAGUAUGCAGGAGAGAAAGAGAGAGAUAUGGGGGAGGGAGAGUGAGAGAGAUUGAGAUAGAGUGAGAGAGAUGUUUGGGAGGGAGAGUGAGAGAGAUUGAGAUAGAGAGAUUGAGAUAGAUAGAGAGAGAGAUAUGUGGGGGAGGGAGAGUGAGAGAGAUUGAGAUAGAGAGAUUGAGAUAGGCAGAGAGAGAGAGAUGUGGGGGAGGGAGAGUGAGAGAGAUUGAGAUAGAGAGAGAUGUGGGGAGGGAGAGUGAGAGAGAUUGAGAUAGAGAGAUUGAGAUAGGCAGAGAGAGAGAGAGAUGUGGGGAGGGAGAGUGAGAGAGAUUGAGAUAGAGAGAGAUGUGGGGAGGGAGAGUGAGAGAGAUUGAGAUAGGUAGAGAGAGAGAGAUGUGGGGGAGGGAGAUUGAGAUAGAGAGAGAUGUAGGGGAGGGAGAGUGAGAGAGAUUGAGAUAGAGAGAGAGAGCGGUAAGUGAUAUCCCUGUUCCAGUGUGCUUUCACCCCUCCCCUCUCCCCUAGGUAGAUAUCUAUCACCACUUUACACCCUCCUGUGUGUGUGUGUCUGUGUGUGUCUGUGUGUGUGUGCAUGCGUGUGUGUGCGUGUGUGUGUGUGUCUUUGUGUGUGUGUGUGUGUGUGUUUGCGUGCGUGCGUGUGUGUGCGUGUGUCUGUGUGUGUGUGUGUGUGCGUGCGUGCGUGUGUGUCUGUGUGUGUGCGUGCGUGCGUGUGUGUGUGUCUGUGUGUGUGCACCUGUAUGCGUGGUAAAUCAACAAGUUCAUCAACAAGUAAAUUAAUCAAACAGUCCUUCAACUAAUUAAUUAGUCACAAAAUCUAUGAAGUGAUCAGCCAGUCAUUAAUAAACCAUUAAAACAGACAGAGGAAACUAACUUGUUAACAGACUAUGUUUGGAAUAUUUAUUUUGCACACAGAAUAGAAUACAGUAGGUUGACUUUUGUACUAUGGGAGACAGUAGAUUGAUAUAGGCUAGUGUUUUUUUCUGUUCGUUACUCAACCUGUUGGCUGACGAAAAGUAAAUGUGGACAGUUCUUCCAAUAUCUUCAAUGUGCACCUCUGAAUUGGAUAAGGACGCGUGCAGUUGUGUCCCCAAUGUGUCUGUCUUCACUUGUAGCCUCCGAGAAAGACCCACACUUACAGUGCUAUGGCAAGAAUAACCAAGUCAACAUCAAGCUUUGUAGUGCUAGGACAAGAAACUAAAUA